CUGGAAUCGCUAGUAAUCGCGAAUCAGCAUGUCGCGGUGAAUACGUUCCCGGGUCUUGUACACACCGCCCGUCACACCAUGGGAGUCAGCAACGCCCGAAGUCAGUGACCUAACCGAGAGGAAGGAGCUGCCGAAGGCGGGGCAGGUAACUGGGGUGAAGUCGUAACAAGGUAGC
rnacentral:rRNA from 1 species